rnacentral:rRNA from 1 species
UACGGGGGGAGCAAACGUUGUUCGGAAUCACUGGGCGUAAAGGGCGUGUAGGCGGCUGGAUAAGUGGGAUGUUAAAUCCCCCGGCUCAACCGGGGACCUGCAUCUCAUACUGUUCAGCUCGAGCACAUCAGAGGAGACUGGAAUUCCCGGUGUAGCGGUGAUAUGCGUAGAUAUCGGGAGGAACACCAGUGGCGAAGGCGGCUCUCUGGGCCUUACCUGACGCUGAGACGCGAAAGCGUGGGGAGCGAACCGG